rnacentral:rRNA from 1 species
GAUUAACGCUAGCGGCAGGCAUAAUACAUGCAAGUUGAACGGCAGCACAGGUAGCAUUACUGGUUGUCGAGUGGCGCACGGGUGCGUAACACGUAUGCAACCUACCCUAUACAGGCGAAUAACCUUUAGAAAUUAGGGCUAAUACGCCGUAGUAUUACAGAUGGGCAUCUAUUUGUAAUUAAAGAUUUAUCGGUAUAGGAUGGGCAUGCGUCCCAUUAGUUAGUUGGUAAGGUAUCGGCUUACCAAGACUAUGAUGGGUAGGGGAUCUGAGAGGACGUAGCCCCAAGAUGGUACUGAGACACGGAGCAGACGAGUACGGGAGGCAGAAGUAAGGAAGAUUGGGGAAUGGACGAGAGGCUGACCGAGCCAUGCCGCGUGCAGGAAGACGGCGUUAUGGGUGGUAAACUGCGUUUAUACGGGAACAAUAGAGUGUACGCGUACAUGUAUGAAAGUAACGGAUGAAUAAGCAUCGGCUAACUACGUG